GCCUACGGGGGGCAGCAGUGAGGAAUAUUGGUCAAUGGGCGGAAGCCUGAACCAGCCAAGUCGCGUGAGGGAAUAAGGCCCUACGGGUCGUAAACCUCUUUUGCCGGGGAGCAAGGGCCGGGACGAGUCCCGGUCCGGAGAGUACCCGGAGAAAAAGCAUCGGCUAACUCCGUGCCAGCAGCGGCGGUAAUACGGAGGAUGCGAGCGUUAUCCGGAUUUAUUGGGUUUAAAGGGUGCGUAGGCGGGCCUUUAAGUCAGCGGUAAAAUUUCGGGGCUCAACCCCGUCCGGCCGUUGAAACUGGGGG
rnacentral:rRNA from 1 species